AUGGGGUACGUCGCCCAUGAAUAUCGGGUCAGCUUGGUCAGCAGCCGGUGGCACGGUGACACCAUACCUCAGCUUCCUGUCGCCUACAUCGCGUGCCCUGACCUUAAGCUCCUGAAUCCUCGUUGCGAUCCGGUGCCUCUCCGGGAUGGUGCGCACAUAGCGGACGAUGUGCCGCAAGUAGCCCAGGAAGCCACUAGCGUGGUGGCCAGCGUCUGUAACGCUGUGGAUGUAGAGCUCGACGUUGCCCUCGCAGUCGCGGGUGAGGUCGACGACUUGCUUCAUCCAAGCGCGCACCUGGUGGUCGCGGUGGUGCGCCUCGAUGAGGUGGAGGAGCAGGCCGUUCAUGCUUUCCAUCUCAUCCUUGAUGAACUCCACGUCGCAAUGGAGGCCGCCGAGCAGCUGCGCCUCGUCGACGAGGAUGGCGGUGAGGCGGCCAAGGAGCGAGUCGACAGCGCCCUGGGCAUCCAUCUUGCUUGA
rnacentral:rRNA from 1 species